AGCCCAACUCUAGCCCGACCACACCUAAUGAAAACUAAUCAAAAACCCACUAUGACCAUUAAAACUAAAACAUUCUUCAAACCUAGUAUAGGCGAUAGAAAAGACCACCCGUGCGCGAUAGAAACCUUGUACCGUAAGGGAAAGAUGAAAUAACAAUGAAAAAUUAAAGCAAUAAACAGCAAAGAUAAACCCUUGUACCUUUCGCAUCAUGAUUUAGCAAGAACAAUCAAGCAAAACGAAUUAAAGCUUGCCACCCCGAAACCCAAGCGAGCUACUCACAAGCAGUUAACAUUUGAACGAACCCGUCUCUGUUGCAAAAGAGUGGGAUGACUUGUUAGUAGAGGUGAAAAGCCAACCGAGCUGGGUGAUAGCUGGUUGCCUGUGAAACGAACCUUAGUUCUCUCUUAAUUUUUCUCCACAGACAUUCACCAAACUUCCAUGAAGUAAAUCAAGAGCAACUUAAGGGAGGUACAGCUCCCUUAAGAAAGAACACAAUCUCCCCUAGCGGAUAAACUACCCCCUGCUCCCUAACCAAACUGUAGGCCUUUAAGCAGCCACCAACAAUGAAUGCGUCAAAGCUCUCCCCCUAAAAAUCCAGAAACAAAGCGACUCCCUUAUCCCUAACAGGCCAACCUAUACUAAUAGGAGAACCAAUGCUAAAAUAAGUAACCAGGGGCCCCCCCUCUCAAGCGCAAGCUUACAUCACCACAUUAUUAACAGACCACAAUGCAAUACACCAAACUACAACAAGAUUAAAUAUUAAAAUCCACCCUGUUAACCCAACCCAGGUGCGCUUAUUAGAAAGAUUAAAACCUGUAAAAGGAACUAGGCAAACCCAAGGCCCGACUGUUUACCAAAAACAUAGCCUUCAGCCAACCAAGUAUUGAAGGUGAUGCCUGCCCAGUGACACUACGUUUAACGGCCGCGGUAUCCUAACCGUGCGAAGGUAGCGCAAUCAAUUGUCCCAUAAAUCGAGACUUGUAUGAAUGGCUAAACGAGGUCUUAACUGUCUCUUACAGGCAAUCAGUGAAAUUGAUCUUCCCGUGCAAAAGCAGGAAUAAACACAUAAGACGAGAAGACCCUGUGGAACUUAAAAAUCAGCGACCACCACAUACUACACCCCAAACCUAUUAGGCUCACAACCCUUAACAACUGGUCCGCAUUUUUUGGUUGGGGCGACCUUGGAGAAAAACAAACCCUCCAAAAGCAAGACCACCUCUCUUAACCUAGAGCAACCCCUCAACGUACUAACAGUAACCCAGACCCAGUAUAACUGACCAAUGGACCAAGCUACCCCAGGGAUAACAGCGCAAUCUCCUUCAAGAGCCCAUAUCGACAAGGAGGUUUACGACCUCGAUGUUGGAUCAGGACAUCCUAAUGGUGCAACCGCUAUUAAGGGUUCGUUUGUUCAACGAUUAAUAGUCCUACGUGAUCUGAGUUCAGACCGGAGCAAUCCAGGUCGGUUUCUAUCUAUGACACACUCUCCCUAGUACGAAAGGACCGGGAAAGUAAGGCCAAUGCUACAAGCACGCCUUCCCUCCCAAGUAAUGAACUCAACUAAAUUACCAAAAAGGACCCCCAUCCCCACCCCUCCCCCAGAUAAGGACCC
rnacentral:rRNA from 1 species